rnacentral:tRNA from 1 species
GGGCCGUUAGCUCAGUUGGCAGAGCGCCACAUUUGCAAUGUGGAGGUCACCGGUUCAAUCCCGGUACGGUCCA